rnacentral:rRNA from 1 species
AGAGUUUGAUCCUGGCUCAGAAUCAACGCUGGCGGCGUGCCUCAGACAUGCAAGUCGAACGCGAAAGUUUCCUUUCGGGGAGACGAGUGGAGUGGCGCACGGGUGAGUAACACGUGGGUAAUUUACCUUCGGAUGGGGAAUAACAACCGGAAACGGUUGCUAAUACCGCAUAAUGCAGCGGCUCGACAUCGAGACAGUUGUUAAAGCGGGGGAUCGCAAGACCUCGCGUCUGAAGAGAAGCCUGCGGCGGAUUAGCUAGUUGGUGAGGUAAUGGCUCACCAAGGCUACGAUCCGUAACCGGCCUGAGAGGGCGGUCGGUCACACUGACACUGACAUACGGGUCAGACUCCUACGGGAGGCAGCAGUCGGGAAUUUUGGGCAAUGGGCGAAAGCCUGACCCAGCAACGCCGCGUGAAGGAUGAAAUCCCUCGGGAUGUAAACUUCGCAAGAACGGGAAGAAUAAGCGCGGGCUAAUAUCCUGCGUGAUGACGGUGCCGUUUGUAAGCUCCGGCUAACUCCGUGCCAGCAGCCGCGGUAAUACGGGGGGAGCAAGCGUUGUUCGGAUUUACUGGGCGUAAAGGGCGCGUAGGCGGUCGUGACAAGUCACUUGUGAAAUCUCCGGGCUUAACUCGGAYRGGUCAAGUGAUACUGUCGGGCUAGAGUGCGGAAGGGGCAACUGGAAUUCUCGGUGUAGCGGUGAAAUGCGUAGAUAUCGAGAGGAACACCUGCGGCGAAGGCGGGUUGCUGGGCCGACACUGACGCUGAGGCGCGAAAGCCAGGGGAGCGAACGGGAUUAGAUACCCNNGUAGUCC